rnacentral:misc_RNA from 1 species
GACAGAGGUGCCGAGCGUUAGGCGGAAUCACUGGGCUUAAAGCGUGUGUAGGCGGAUCUCUAAGUACCUUGUGAAAUCCCACGGCUCAACCGUGGAACUGCUGGGUAUACUGGGGGUCUUGAGCCGUCCAGGGGCAACCGGAACAAAUGGUGGAGCGGUGAAAUGCGUAGAUAUCAUUUGGAACGCCGAUGGCGAAAGCAGGUUGCUGGGGACGCGCUGACGCUGAGACACGAAAGCCAGGGGAGCAAACGGG